GAUUAAAAGAAGUUUCUAAAAACGCAAUUAAAUUCGCCCUAUAGCUAAAGUAACUUCCCUAUCUGCAUCCGAAACCUCUUCUCUAGAACAACAGCAUAAAAAAGGAUUCCGACUUUCUUGACUUUUGUGAUACAUUCCUUCGGUGAUUAUCUCCAAUAACAACUCAACCGUUUUAAUGAAACUCCCUGCACAUCACGUCCUGGUGAAAGGAUGGCACUGCGAGACUUUGGAUGAAUUUAUCACAUUACCGAGAUGCUUGAUGGGACAUCGGAGCAUGAUUCAGUGCCCAAAGUUAGAGCUAAAACGCUGUAGCAAAGAGAUCCAGAAUGAAGCCACAGAAAAAUUGGGGAAGGGGGUAAUCAGCUGUGCAGAUACUGCAACUCAUCUGUCUUGCCUGAUUUCCAAUAAGUCAGCACAAAUAAAAAUUGUGAUAAUUCAGCACAAUUUCCUUUUACUGGCUGUUGACCUGGGCCAGAUUCAAAGUAGGAACCAAGGAAAGACUCCACGGACUCUGAUUCCGAGACUGGGACAAAGGUCAGGCUUGAGACAGGCGUAGUUUAUGAGGACUGCCGCCCUGACCAUCUACUCAGGUAGGAUUUUAAUUCUUUCAGGGUCUCCCUUCUCUUGCUCAGAAGUCAGUCAACCUCAAAACACCAAGGCAUUUCUUUUUCUCUUCUGUCAAAUUAAUAACAAUGUCUGAGACUGAAUGAAAAAACAAACACAAGGUAUCUCUACCAACUCACUUGCAUUUCACGAUGUCAACAAAUUAUCACGUGAACUCUGGGACCCAUGAUGACGUCCAGAAGCAUGUAUGGAACAUCUACUAUGGCGGACAGGGUACGGUUUGGACUGCUAGAAACAGGGACAGCAUUAGGGAGGCCUCAAUAGCAUGACACUGCGAUAUUUUGGGGCAUCUUUCUACUAUUGCUGUGUUCUUCACUGAAAUAACUCCCUAUCAAAAGUACUAUGCUAGGAACCACGGAGAAAAGUAUCAUCUCCUGAUUAUGAGCACAGUUUUUAGAACCAGAUAGAUUUGGAUUCAAGUCCUAGAUCUACGCAAUUAUCAGCUGUGUUACAUCAGGCAUUUAUUAAACUAUUUAGGCAUUAGCUCCCUCAACCUUAAAAUGAGAAUAAUGGCUCAUACGGUUAUCAUAAGAAGAGUUAUUAAUAACAUAUAUAAAGCCUUUGCAUGACAUCUUCCACAUAGAAAGUACUCUGAAAUGUUUGCCUGUUGUGGUGGGGUGGCUAUUGUCUCUGUUAUUGUGUUGUUAUAUUAUUAAUACAGAAGAAUAUUGAAUGAUCAGGAGCAAUCUAUAAAACUAUUAGUUAAGAGAAGCACUGGAAGAAGCUGAUAGCGACUGAGCUUGAAGCUGAAAGGAAAAGAGGCAAUGGGUUUAGAACAGGCAUCAAUCUUGCUGCAAAGAUUCCUAAGUCAGCUCUCAAUUAUCUUUGCUAAUAGAAGGGAGACAAUAAUCCAAAACAGCAGCUGACUCAACAAGCUGGCAUUUUUUAGAAUUCAAAUCCCAUCAGAGAUACAGACAUACAACCUGUCAGCUUUUGCUCUGUGCUCUGCCUCUGUUCUUGGUCCCAGUUGCUGGCAGGUGCUUGAAACUCAGUUGCGUCUCUGAGAGAGAACUUUGCCUUCCUGGUGACCUGGUACCUGCCACCUUCCCAUUGCCCCAAGGGCCCUGACCAUGAAAGAGCUUUACUGGGGCCCAACCCAACAUGCAUUGCUCAACCACCCCCUACCGCACACUCUCUCCCCGUUCCAGCUCCUUAACUUUUUUUUUUUUUAAGUCCAGAAGGUCUUCUCAUCCAAGAACAAACCCUACUUUGAAAUACCUCACCACAUGCUAGAGGCACAACCUCCAUGGAGACAAAUGAAUUUGCUUUAGCAAGGAUGGUCUCUCUAGGCCUGGCCUUUCUUCUGAAUCUGAUUCCUGAGCUACAGCCUUUUCCCCUCUGCCCCUUUCCUCCACCUGAUACUGUUAUUCCCUGAUAUUGUUCUCAGCCCUGGCUAGCACCAUAAUUACAAAGGCACUGUCUCUUGAAGAAGGGGCCAACCUCCCUCCACUCCAUGGGCAACUAGGAAAGAGGCAAGUGUUCGUGGGGAUCUGAUGGGAAAUCAUAGAACACCUUCCAGCUGCUUAUCCCUCACCGCUGGAGUGAGGGCGGAGUGCAAGUUUGAGAGGAACUUCAGGAAAUAUCAGUGUGCCAAGAGUCUUUCCAGCUGACCACCACUAAUGUUUGCCUCUUCUUUUAACUCCGGACUGAAUAGAACAAAUAGCUGAAUUGUAAUGAUUUGACAGAAAUCCAGUCAUUAUACAAAUGGUUAUUCGAUAAUGAUUUAUUAAUUUCUUCUUCUACAAAUAUUCAUGUUAGCACAUACUGAGCUCAGUCUAGUGAGAAAGAGAAGCUAAGACAUAUAUACAAAUAUCUAGACCAGUGAUCAUUUUGCCUCCAGGGGAGAUAACUGGUGAGGUGGUGCUAUUGGCAUCUAGAGAUUGGAGGCCAGAGAUGCUGCUAACGUCCUACAGAGCAUAGGACAGGCCCCAUAUUGAUGGAUUAUCCAGCCCUGAAUACCAUAGUGCUGAGGUUUAGAAACCUGAACUCUGCUAUAGGGCACCACAACCUACAUUCAAGAUGAGCGAUCAAAGGAAAAGACUGUAGCAGAGUGAGAGUCACUUCUGCUCAGAAGUCGAAUCUAAUCUGGGAAGGUCUAAAGAGGAAAGUAACAUUUGGCUGUUUCAUGAAAUUUGGAUAAGAUUUUGAAAAUGGAGAUUAAAGAGUUAUAGGAAAUGAAUAGAUUUCUAGCAAACGGAAGACAAAAUAUGUUUUUAAAUGUGCUAAGGUCUAAGGGGAGCUCCAAUAACAUAAAACAGAAUCAUUUGAAGAGUAGGAUGGAAGGGCAAAAAGAAGGAGACAACAUUUUCAAGGCCUCAAAUAUCAGGCUAGAGAAUUUGCUUUAUCGCUGUCAGAGACUAUCCACUUGGAGCGCCAAACCUGGUAACUGUUGUAUUUAUUUUAGGUUCUAGAGUGCAACUUGUCCUGGUAUUUCAGAGUCAAAUAAAUUUAGAGUUGAAAAUAGAUGGUAGACA
rnacentral:lncRNA from 1 species